UGCUGUUUCAGCAGCACAUAUACUAAAAUUGGAACGAUACAGAGAAGAUUGGCAUGGCCCCUGCGCAAGGAUGACACACAAGUUCGUGGAGCAUUUCAUUACUUA